UAACACUCCGUAGAGCCACAUUCCCGCCGCCUUUCUCCCCCCGGGCGAACCGAUGCUGGCCCGAGCCCGCCGGAGUGCGCCGCCGACGAGCGACGGCUGAUCCGACGGGCGCGAGUCUGGUCGCAAGCGCUUCCCUUUCAACAAUUUCACGUGCUUUUUAACUCUCUUUUCAAAGUGCUUUUCAUCUUUCGAUCACUCUACUUGUGCGCUAUCGGUCUCUGGCCGGUAUUUAGCUUUAGAAGGGGUUUACCUCCCAUUUUGAGCAGCAUUCCC
rnacentral:misc_RNA from 1 species